rnacentral:lncRNA from 1 species
AUACUGUUGUCUAAUGCGGGGUUCACACAUUGCUGAUUAUUGCUCCAGUUGUAUCAGACAGCGAUACGACACGAAAUGUAAAAAAAGUCGGAAUACUAUCCUUAAUUAUCUGGAAUGUCCUAUCAUUGUCUGAACUAAGUCGUUUAAGUUCGUAACAGAUUCCUGCGGGUCGGGAAGGGUCCGAAUAGUUCGGCGAAGCACCACGACAGUUAUAUGCGUCCCUUAACAUUCGGGGACACUCAGCCGAUUGUGUGUAGUUGGAUUACAAUCGUGCCUAUGUCGUGACAGAUUCUGUUGUAUCGGAUCAUAAUCCUAACGAUGUUCUGUGUAUUCCGGACGUUGUCCUGUGGAACGGGAAUGAUCUGGAGAAAUUUUUCAUUGCUGUUUCUCUGCCGAUUGAGUUCAGAUUGCAUCCAUAUCUUGUCGAUUGCGAACCGUUGUUGCCGAAACCGUUCCGGAACAGUCCGUUAUUAAUACGAAAUUCGUCAAUGAUACCCACGUCAGAGUCCCGACAAUUACAGAAUACAAUACGAUUGAGACCAGACAAAGCCGUUUGCAAUACGAUAGAGCGCACCGUGAUAGGAUUACGUUCCGACAGUACCCGAUCAUCCCGAGUAUGCCGACAAAUUUCGAACGGAUAACUUCCGUCAGCGUCGGUUCACUGUUUGGUCACUGUCUGAUCUCUGUCGGAUUACAUUCAGAAGAAUCGGGACGCAGUCGUGACAGACUCGGUCGAUUUUUACCAGGAGA